rnacentral:rRNA from 1 species
AGUCGAACGAGGGUCCUUCGGGACUCGAGUGGCGAACGGGUGAGUAACACGUAGGGAACCUGCCCGUGCGACCGGGAGAACUUUCGGAAACGGAAGCUGAUACCGGAUAGGGACAGAGACGGCAUCGACUCUGUGUUAAAGGAGCUGAAAGGCUCCGCGCACGGAUGGACCUGCGGUGCAUUAGCUGGUUGGUGAGGUAACGGCCCACCAAGGCGACGAUGCAUAGCCGGCCUGAGAGGGCGGACGGCCACACUGGGACUGAGACACGGCCCAGACUCCUACGGGAGGCAGCAGUAGGGAAUUUUCGUCAAUGGGCGCAAGCCUGAACGAGCAAUGCCGCGUGAACGAGGAAGGUCUUCGGAUCGUAAAGUUCUGUUGAAGGGGAAAAAGAGCGGAGAGAGGAAAUGGUCUCCGAUUGAUAUUACCCUUCGAGGAAGUCACGGCUAACUACGUGCCAGCAGCCGCGGUAAUACGUAGGUGGCGAGCGUUAUCCGGAAUGAUUGGGCGUAAAGGGUGCGUAGGCGGCCUGCUAAGUCUGGAGUGAAAGGUACCGGCUCAACCGGUAUAGGCUCUGGAAACUGGCGGGCUAGAGAGCAGGAGAGGGCGGUGGAACUCCACGUGUAGCGGUAAAAUGCGUAGAUAUAUGGAAGAACACCAGUGGCGAAGGCGGCCGCCUGGCCUGUUACUGACGCUGAGGCACGAAAGCGUGGGGAGCAAAUAGGAUUAGAUACCCUAGUAGUCCACGCCGUANACGAUGAGGACCAAGUGUUGGGGAANACCCAGUGCUGCAGUUAACGCAGUGAGUC